AAAUUACCCAAUCCCGACACGGGGAGGUAGUGACAAGAAGUAACAAAGCAAGUGGCUACGCCAUUUUGCUAUUGGAAUGAGUAGAAUUUAAAUCUCUUUUCGACUAUCAAUUGGAGGGCAAGUCUGGUGCCAGCAGCCGCGGUAAUUCCAGCUCCAAUAGCGUAUAUUAAAGUUGUUGCGGUUAAAAAGCUCGUAGUUGGAUUUCUACCGAAGACAGCCGGUCCACACUACGUGUGCGCAUCUGGUGUGACUUCGGUAUCCUCAUGGAGAACAGUUCUGCACUUUAUUGUGUGGACUGGUAUUCAUGACUUUUACUUUGAGGAAAUUAGAGUGUUCACGGCAGGCAAUCGCCCUGAAUACAUUAGCAUGGAAUAAUAAUAUAGGACUUCGGCCCUAUUUUGUUGGUUUCUAGAGCUGAAGUAAUGAUUAAUAGGGACACUUGGGGGCAUUCGUAUUAUCACGUCAGAGGUGGAAUUCUUGGAUUGUGUUACGACGAACUACUGCGAAAGCAUUUGCCAAGGAUGUUUUCAUUGAUCAAGAACGAAAGAUAGGGGAUCGAAGACGCUUAGAUACCGUCGUAGUCUUAUCCAUAAACUAUGCCAACUAGGGAUUAGCUCGCGUUCUUCAUUCGACCGAGUUAGCACCUUAUGAGAAAUCAAAGUCUUUGGGUUCCGGGGGGAGUAUGGUCGCAAGGCUGGAACUUAAAGGAAUUGACGGAAGG
rnacentral:rRNA from 1 species